rnacentral:rRNA from 1 species
GACGAACGCUGGCGGCGUGCUUAACACAUGCAAGUCGAACGGAAAGGCCCUGCUUUUGUGGGAUGCUCGAGUGGCGAACGGGUGAGUAACACGUGAGUAACCUGCCCUUGACUUUGGGAUAACUUCAGGAAACUGGGGCUAAUACCGGAUAGGAGCUCCUGCUGCAUGGUGGGGGUUGGAAAGUUUCGGCGGUUGGGGAUGGACUCGCGGCUUAUCAGCUUGUUGGUGGGGUAGUGGCUUACCAAGGCUUUGACGGGUAGCCGGCCUGAGAGGGUGACCGGCCACAUUGGGACUGAGAUGCGGCCCAGACUCCUACGGGAGGCAGCAGUGGGGAAUAUUGCACAAUGGGCGGAAGCCUGAUGCAGCAACGCCGCGUGCGGGAUGACGGCCUUCGGGUUGUAAACCGCUUUCGCCUGUGACGAAGCGUGAGUGACGGUAAUGGGUAAAGAAGCACCGGCUAACUACGUG